rfam:Mesorhizobium sp. LNHC252B00 scaffold0002, whole genome shotgun sequence.
GGGGCCGUAGCUCAGCUGGGAGAGCGCCUGCUUUGCAAGCAGGAUGUCGUCGGUUCGAUCCCGUCCGGCUCCA